rnacentral:rRNA from 1 species
GACGGAGGAUGCAAGUGUUAUCCGGAAUCACUGGGCGUAAAGCGUCUGUAGGUUGCACAAUAAGUCAACUGUAAAAUCUUGAAGCUCAACUUCAAAACCGCAGUCGAAACUAUUGAGCUUGAGUAUAGUAGAGGUAAAGGGAAUUUCCAGUGGAGCGGUGAAAUGCGUAGAUAUUGGAAAGAACACCGAUGGCGAAGGCACUUUACUGGGCUAUUACUGACACUCAGAGACGAAAGCUAGGGUAGCAAAUGGG